rnacentral:tRNA from 1 species
GGGAAUGUGGCUUAGUGGUAGAGCGCUUGCCUAGCAUGCAAGAAGCCCUGGGUUCGGUUCCUCAGUACCA